AAAUGUCCCAGUUCCAGGGAUCCCAUGAGUAAAGGCAAGUCUGUCCCCAGCUGCGACUGGCCCCGGCUCAAGUUCUUCCUCCGUGGUGUAGGGCCCGGCUUCGCAGAGAACCCAGCGCAUGCGCGCACAGACGCAGCUGGUGUGGCGACGGCUACCCUCAGAACAGGAUGUCCAGGAACUCCCAAAGAAAGGAACAGGAGUGAGCGGUUGUAACCAUUUAUCAAGAUGGGGAAGCACAGAUCAGACGGGGCAGAAUCUGGACUCCAGGCAACCCCCUGAUUGGUUCAGCGAUGGACACGUGACCCCAGCUGGCUGAUCAAAUUCAUCCUGGGACUUGGAGGAAGGCUGUACUUGCUGUCUUUGCUCCAGCGUCGCAAGUUGAGAAAGAAGACAGUGUUCAAACAUGGCUUGGUGAAAAUAGCUCUGUGUGAAAGCAAAGAAAUGCAGUGCAGGUGAGUGACUUUUUGGCAAUCUGAGGAGAAACAAGGGAAAUAGGGCUGGGAGAAUCUCUGAAUCUUCAGCCGGUGUGCCACGUUCCGCUGGUGUGGCAUGAGAGGAUCUUAGGUGUGCUGUGAAAAUUUUUAAAGAUCAUGAAUUAAAUUAUUUUUGAAAGAAGGUCAAAGCACAGUAAAUAUAUUCUUUUUCUUACUCCUGUUUCUGAUCAACAUAAGUUAAGGGUGCUGCAGAAGUUUAACUGUAGGUUCAAGUGUGCCAUGAGA